rnacentral:rRNA from 1 species
UGGGAAUCUUAGACAAUGGGCGCAAGCCUGAUCUAGCCAUGCCGCGUGAGCGAUGAAGGCCUUAGGGUUGUAAAGCUCUUUCGUGGGGGAAGAUAAUGACUGACCCCAUGAGUG